UGAGCCAGAGCCCAAGGGGCAGCACCUGCAGGGAGGCACAGGGCAAGGGAAGGAGGGAGAGAUCCCUGGGUUCUCUGGGGUCCUCUCUCUGCCUAUGGAGUCCAACUAUUCCAGCCUUCAAGGAUCUGAAUUUACUGUAGCUAAGACUUCCAUAGAUGAUCCUCUGAAUCUACUUCAGAACCAGAGAAACUGAGGCCAGGGAGGGGAACUGCCAGCUAGCAGCUGCUGCUAUCCCAAGAACUGAGGAUCGAGCUGCUCUCUCACCACUUCGGAAAAAGAGAGAAACGGGAUCCGCAGAGAUGGUUUGUUGGGAGAGCGGUGGCAGCAGAUGCUUGAAGCAGCCAGACACAUCACAUCCAACAGUCAGAAAACAUCCGUGUGUUCUGGUACUCGGCUGCCUUCCCCUUUCUGCAGUCUGGAAUGGCACUGCCCACAUUUGAGUCUACAGGCAAGGAGACUGAAGCAUGGGAGAGACUUAUCUACGUGGCAACUUUGUGAAGAGGCUGCAGUUGGGCCCAGCCUGUCCAGCCACCCCGCUCAGCCAUAUGGAUACAACUUUCCCUAGACCUGUACACUCAACCAUCCAGAUAUCAGAAGCCAUUUGUACAGUAACUGGCCUGGAUCCUUUUAGAAGAAAAAUGUGAUUUUCUUUUCCACUCUGCAAGCUCCUGCUUCGCCCUCCAUCCAGUCCUUGUUUAUUUCAGUAAAGAAACAGCCUUUGACGUCCUCCAAGAGGAACAGGGCAGCACUACAAACAUCGAGAAGCAUGCCACACGUUGGUUGGAACAUGGAAGUUUUGUAAGGUUUAAUAAGUUCUUGGAACCCAUGGAUGCUGCUGUCCUUUCAAGGUGAAAUUAAAAAAUAAAACACCCUGAAAAUCA